UUGGCCUUAUCGUCUCCAUUGCUUAAACUCUUGGUACAAAAGGAGCAACUGAUUUCAGCUAGCUAUGUGAAGGUAAAUAACGCAGCAACAGUCACGCUCAGAAGAAUACUUUGGAAGAUUUUUCAAGCAUGAUGAGUACCAAUGUGGAAUCUCCUUACUACCUUAAUUUGUCAACUUGCACAUCCUCUCUUAAAGGUCUCAGGCAACGGAAGCAUUGUAUUCAUCGCCUCCAUCGCUGGUAUGAAAGCUCUGCCUAGAUUAUCUUCCUAUGGAGCAACAAAAAGCACCGUUAUUCAAAUUUCGAAGAAUUUGGCAUGUGAAUGGGCACAGGACAAUAUUCAAGCAUACACUGGAGCACCUGUUUAUACCCAAUAUUAGCAUAUCGGCUUAUCGAUCAUAUCGUGGCCGUUUAAUGAAUGAAGAGAUUGAGAUAAUUAUGGUAUUCGCAACGAGUAAGGAGAGCAGCUUAUGAAGUGGGACUUAAAGAUGAGUUUUCUUUUGAUUAAACAAGCUGCUAGGUUGUUGUGUCAAACUGUCCAAACCAAUUAAUGUAAUCAUGCAAUAAUACUUGUUGAAUUGGAGUAGGAUUCUAUUGCAUGACAGUGGUACAAUGCUAAAACUAAUUGCAUGAUUAACAUUGAUAAGUCAUACAUGCUAGCUGAUGACGUGAGACCUUGAUUACUUAUCAUGUGUAUUAAUUACUUAACAUGCAUUAGGAGUCCUAAUAAGCUUGAAGCAAGCAAUUUGAGUUCAAGAGAAAGAUCAACUCGGCUUGAUUAUCAAUGACCUCCAUAUAAAGAAGCAUCGACAGAAGACAGAAGACACACAUACAUCUCCAGCCAAAACUCCAUCAUGGGUUUCCUUCUAUUUUUCUUAGCUCCAGAUUAGUUUUAUUCUCUUUUCAAUUCUUAGUUGUUAGCUCUACUAGUUCGAGUCAAUUUCCUUCGUUUUUCUUGUAAUCUGGUAUCGCUAUUUCAAUAAUUUCCUUUGUUACUUUUUGAUAAUAGUUGAUAGUUUUAUUCUUCAAGCCAUUUAUUAUUUUCUUUUUCUGCUCUUUACUUUAUCGCUAUUUACUUUCCUGCGAUUUACUUUAUUGCUCUUUACCUUUCUGCACUUAAUCUAGAGUUUAUUUUCUUGCUCUUUUACUAUUGUGUUUAUUUCUUGCACUAGGAGUAGUUUUAACGCAAUUGUUCGGUUACCAAUCACUAUUUGCGACUCGUCCAUUGAACAACCCAAAAGUCCUUGAUCCAAAGGCAUCGAACCCUCAACCGAGAUUGUUCCUUCCUCGGCUUUCAGUCGCUCGACGAAGUCAGAACACGUGCACUUCAUCUACUACAUCUACAAUUGCACACUUGGCCUUUUGGCCGUGUGCUGGCACGCCCUGCAAUCUACUCACCAAGAAGGACAUUUGUUCCUUGAUCUCUCGGCUUUCUGGCCGAGGUGAUUUUCAGAGGCAACAGCACCAUGGGCUCAACACCGGGGUUAAACCUGAUAAUGGGAAUAUCUCCUCCAAAUCCUACAACUUUUUUGAAAUUGACCUUGUGUUUUAGUAUAUUACCAGUAUGAUUGAGAGCAAUUAAUAAUCUAACAUGAUAAAUUUCAUUUUUGCAUCAGGAUGAGCAUUCUGCUGACUUUAGACGCUUAAUAAGUCGAACUCUCAUCCGUCGCAUUGCCGAUCGAGCCUAAUGAAAUUUCGUCCUUGGCGACUUUCCUCUGCCUUCUUGCUGCCUCAUAUUUCGAGUUGUUAGUAAUGAUGGAGGGUUUACAGUUAGCGGUUUCUAGUGUACUGAAAACUCAAAAUGUAGGUUGCCAAAUCAACAACCUGUGUAGUAUACUCCCUAGUUUGUUCAUAGUUCCACAUUUCUUGGUCAAUAAGGUUUGUGAAACAGUACAAAGAAAACAAGUUACUCUUCGCAAUCAAGUCCUUGUCAUUUUGUGUGUACUAUAUAAAAAUAAGUUUUUGAA